GCUGACGCCUCCCAGGAGAAUCAUUUCUAUAGUAUUCGACCUUCUCUUGGUUCUCCAAAAGAGCCACAGAUCCCACCCUGGUUGAUGAGUGCAUAUCCUCGACACCCUAGAGUGAAUACCUUGGUCCUCUCGCUCUGUCUGCAAAGACGGCGGCAGUCGCUUUGAGCGGUUGCUGUAUAGAGAGUUUUUCCCUCUUGAUGAUCUCGACCCCAGCAGCGGUCUUGCCUUCGGGCGCGCGGUUGGGGUGGGUGUUGAUGGACGUCUGACAGGC
rfam:Nectria haematococca mpVI 77-13-4 chromosome 11 genomic scaffold NECHAsca_36_chr11_2_0, whole genome shotgun sequence.